UAAAAAUAUGGCCGCACAUUUGGAGAUUUCUACUUUGCAAAUUGGUGAAAAUCCUUUGCAAAAAUUCGAAGAUAAUUUGCGUGUUUCUCUGGAUACGUUGAAAGGUAGGAGAAAACAGCAACUUUCUUUAGCAGUAAAGAAUAUAUUCUGUCCUAAAUUUAAGUAAUAUUUCACUGUUUUUUUAGCAGACACUACUUGUCAGUUUCAGUCGGAUGUUGCAAAUACAAAUAUAAAGUCGCGAAUUAGUUGUUGGAGUACUUUAGGUAGGAACAGUAGAUAAGUAUUUCAAAACAGUUGGACUUAGUAUACUUUUAAUAUAUACAGUGAUAAGAAAUGCC